rnacentral:rRNA from 1 species
UACAGAGGGGGCCAGCGUUAUUCGGAAUUAUUGGGCGUAAAGGGCGCGUAGGCGGCCAUGCGUGUCUUCCGUGAAAUCCCUCGGCUUAACUGAGGACGUGCGGAAGAAACUGCAAGGCUCGAGUCCGGGAGAGGGGGGUGGAAUUCCCAGUGUAGCGGUGAAAUGCGUAGAUAUUGGGAGGAACACCAGUGGCGAAGGCGGCUUUCUGGCCUGUUCUUGACGCUGAGGCGCGAAAGCUAGGGGAGCAAACGGG